AAAAAAAAUCUAAUUACAUUUUAUUUGUCACAUGAAUACAACAGAUGGAAUGCUUACAGUGAAAUGCUUUCUUACAAGCCCUUAACCAACAAAACUUUAAGAAGUGAAGAAACUUGUUUUUAUUUUUCACUAUAAACAUUUAACAAAUAAUUAAACAGCAGCAGUUAAAUAACAAUAGCGAUAUGUACAAGUAGGUAGAGUUGAAGUGACUAUGCAUAGUAGCAGCAGUGUAAAAGAGGGGUCUGGGUAGCCCUUUGAUUGGCUGUUCAGGAGUCUUAUGGCUUGGGGGUAGAAGCAGUUAAUCGCAAAUCUAGAAGAGGAGUAUGAAGAUCUGUAGGAUGUAGUACCGUCUCUUAUUGAGGAAUCUGCAAAGUAUUUAGAUCGCUUUGAAGCCCAACCCACUCUCCAAUGCAGAGGACAUCGAUCUGCUCAUCCAAGGUGAGGGGACAGAGGCCAAACCAGGCUUCUGGCUCGCACUGAAGGUGAGGGGACAGAGGCCAAACCAGGCUUCUGGCUCGCACUGAAGGUGAGGGGACAGAGGCCAAACCAGGCUUCUGGCUCGUACUGAAGGUGAGGGGACAGAGGCCAAACCAGGCUUCUGGCUCGCACUGAAGGUGAGGGGACAGAGGCCAAACCAGGCUUCUGGCUCGCACUGAAGGUGAGGGGACAGAGGCCAAACCAGGCUUCUGGCUCGCACUGAAGGUGAGGGGACAGAGGCCAAACCAGACUUCUGGCUCGUACUGAAGGUGAGGGGACAGAGGCCAAACCAGG
ensembl:lncRNA